GGGUGACAGGUGGUGCGAUGGUUGUCGUCAGCUCGUGUCGUGAGAUGUUGGGUUAAGUCCCGCAACGAGCGCAACCCUCGACCUUAGUUGCCAGCAUUCAGUUGGGCACUCUAAGGUGACUGCCGGCUAAAAAGUCGGAGGAAGGUGGGGAUGACGUCAAAUCAUCAUGCCCCUUAUGACCUGGGCUACACACGUGCUACAAUGGGCGGUACAAAGGGUCGCGAACCCGCGAGGGGGAGCCAAUCCCAAAAAGCCGCUCUCAGUUCGGAUUGCAGGCUGCAACUCGCCUGCAUGAAGCCGGAAUCGCUAGUAAUCGCGGAUCAGCAUGCCGCGGUGAAUACGUUCCCGGGCCUU
rnacentral:rRNA from 1 species